GCCGGGUGUGGUGGAGCACACCUGUAAUCCCAGCUACUCUGGAGGCUGAGGCAGGAGAAUCAGUUGAACCCGGGAGGCAGAGGUUGCAGUGAGUGGAGAUCUCACCACUGCACUCCAGCCUGAGUGACAGAUUGAGACUCUGUCUCAA
rnacentral:SRP_RNA from 1 species